GGGGGUCCUGGAACCAAUCCCUCAUGGAUGCAUGAGGGAUGAUUGUAUAUCAUACACACACACACAGUUUACUGGCUUCUGCAAACAAAUUUUGAGCCUAUUACCAACGAGCCUGGUCAACAAAUCUACAUCUAAAGUAAGAUAUAUACUUGCUAAAAUUGUUUUUAACUAAAAAUGCCAUAUGUAGUAUAAAAAUGAAAACUAGACACUAUUUCAUUCACAUCCAUUGAGAUAAUAGUGGUGAGCACUUAGGAUAAGCACCAGGCUUGACUUGCUGCUCUUGUCACUUGUCCUUGGAAAUUCAGGCUCUAUUACACCACCAACUCUCAAAACAUUUCCCUGUUGUAGAGCUAAACUUGACGUCCUACAGAAUUUCUCUAACUUAACAUGUUGAGUCUCUGAGACUGCAAAACUUGAAACAAGAGAAAGUGGCCUGCCUGGCAUCCUCUGCUUAUUGAAUGGUUUUAUUUAAUUCUCCUUUACAUUGCCACCUUAACAAUCCUUCCAGCUACGUAUCUUAAAGGAUGUGAUGGAGAAGUUAUCAACUGGUGUUUUCAGACCUCAGUUGGAUGAACCCAUUCCACUGUAUGAGGCAAAAGUUUCCAUGGAAGCUGUUCAGAAAAAUCAAGGAAGAAAAAAGCAAGUUGUUCAAUUUUAAUUUUCUUCUUUCUCAGACCUCAUUCGGAUGAACAUAUUCCAGUAUUUGAAGCCAGAAUUUUCUUUGGAAAUUGUUGAGAAAAACCAAGGAAGAUAAAACAAGUUGCAUUUUUAAGCACGUUUCCCUGCUAAGACAAGAUGCUCAGUUGACACAUUUGAAAAGUGUUUGAAAAAUUCUUGUGCAAAUGAUCAAGAUAAUUCUAUAAUUAACAUCUUAAGGGAAUUUUCUAAAAACCUUUUCAUUGUUUCUAUAUAUUUUGCCCCUGCUAUAAAAUUCCUUCCAUGAAGAAAACUGCCGCUUUCAGCAAAAGCCACACUACUCUUGAUAAAGCUGUUGCAGGCCUUUGCUAAGCUAUCAAA
rnacentral:sRNA from 1 species